AAGUCUGCCAUAACAUGAAACAUUAGAUGGUAUGAUCAUCAUCAUUCAAGGACUAGUAGUUGAGUGGGAGGGAAUAGUUGGCAGUGUGGGCUUAGUCAGAUCAGGAAAAUGGGGAAAAGGUGGCAAUUCAGGCAGUUUUGGUAUUUCAAAUUUUGGCAGUUCAGGUUUUGGGAAUUCGGGAAGCUUAGGAAACUCCGGCUUGGGAAGCUCGGGAAAUUCAGGCUUCGGAAGCUCAGGCAGUUUUGGUAUUUCAAAUUUUGGCAGUUCAGGUAUUGGGAAUUCGGGUAGCUUAGGCAACUCCGGCUUGGGAAGCUCGGGAAAUUCAGGCUUCGGAAGCUCAGGCAAUGUUACCUCCAAGAGUUGGCGUGCCUCCACCAGAAUUGUCUGGCUGAUUAUCAAUGACAUGCUCAUGAUCACUAUAAGUGGUGAAAUGAAAAGUGGGAAGAUAUGAUUGGCCAUGGUUGUGGAGAUGGCAAUGGCUUCAAGGGAAGGGAGAGUUUUAGGCUUUAGCAAAUCACAAGUGGUGUGAAGUGUGCUUUUUGCAGUGCUUUUCCGUGAGAAAACCAUUGGGUUUUUAUAGAUGUGGGAGGUGGAGAAUAGGGAGGUUUUGGAGGGCGAGUUGGCAGGACAUUUUGUAUGUUGGCAGUUCAACUUCUCACCAGUUAUGCUUACUUACACUUCAACAACAUAAUCAGGUUUCAAAGACACCCUUUGGAAGAAAGAAAAAAAAAAGGAGGUAAAAGCUGGUGCAUCUAGAUUGAUUAGCUGGCAUUUCCAUUUUACCCCAGAACCAGCUAGAGAUUGAUUCAAAAAAAAGGUUCAGGUUACCGGGACAAUUUGUAAAUCACGGGUGAUCAACUCAGGUUAAUUAUUUUUAUUAAAAUGAAUAAGUCACUUUAUUUAACCAAUUCAUCCAUCAUUCAUGGGAAUUGAAAUCAAGGGCCGUUUUUAGGAUGGGUUAUUUGGGAUUUUGCCAAAUUUAUGUGUUCAUUGUAACCAUGUCAUGCAUUAAAUGCAUGUUAGCGCGAAAAUAAACCAUAAGAACAUGGUGGCUAGUCUUUUGCAUGUUCUUUUAUUACACUUGCUUCAUGAUUUGGACUAGAAAAUUUACUCUCAUGCGUGGCUAGUGAAACAUGGUAAACUUUAUAUCUCGUAGCUGUUUGGAAUUGUAAUUAAAGUGUUUUUUAUUUAAAAAUAUAUUAAAAUGAUAUUUUUUUAUUUUUAAAAAUCAUUUUUAAAAUUAUAACAUCAAAACGAUCUGAAAAUAUAAAAAAUAAUUUUUAAUAAAAACAAAAUUAAAUUUUAAAAGAAUAUGGCUUCAACCGCAGUCUCGAAGUCCAUCCAUCCCGGCAGACUACUGCAACAGAUGUACGUACCUCUGCAGAAGUCUACUCUGCAUAUUGCUUUGGAGAAACGAGUAACUUUGACAGUAAGUUUACAUCUACAGGGAUGAACUAAAAGUGAAACUAAUCAGCUUAACCAUCUCUUACUUAUCCAUGCCAUCAGACAUGCAGAAAACACAAAUAUCAUCCAUCAGAAUCUGGAACUUGAAAGCUCUUAUGCCAAAUUAAUAAACAAUACUGCUUUAUCAACUAUGAAAUGUAGUGUCAUACAACAUGUUACAGAUUAUGACAUCAAAUGUGACUAUAAUUACAACAGCACUUAUAUUACUUGGUAGUUAAUCCCAGGAGUUCGAGGGAAUAACGUUUUUUUUCUGACUGUCUUCACAUGCAUGUAUAAACAAAGCACAAAAUGAACGAAGACUUAACGAUGACGACAAAAAAAACAACAACAAACUACACGGAUAAAUCAGCAGCACAGUUUCAGAACCAAAAUGCUCGGUCUUUUACUGCAACUUUCCCACUUUUGUCCUUCAUGUUGUUUUCCUUGUACAGUGUCCACUUCUCAAAUGAACAGUCAACGAAGUCGUAAUAGCCGCCAUGAAUAUUGAGUUCUCCAUUCCUCACUUUUUCUUCUACCCAAGGGUAACUGAGGAGGUUUACCAAUGAACAAUUGACUGAUUCCUGUAGGAAACAACAUCAGGAAGAAAUCAUUCGGCAUAAUUAUGGUUCGAUUAUUUAGACCACCUCUCAUCAAACUAUAUUCUUCUCCACCCACUGGUUAGCAGCAGUCCUGAAUUCAUUAUUUAUUAAGACGAAAUUUUUUGUGGCAUUGAGGCCCAAAACUUUCAAUAUUAAACAGGACAAGAAAUGGGAUUGGAGAAAAAAUGGUUGCCUUUUCAAGGUAGGGCUGUCCACUACACAAGUUCACUGUAUAGCACAACGAUAAAGCAAGACGGUAAAAAAGGACCAAUCUAAACCCAAUCCAGCAACAAACAUGCGGUUACUAUACUUUUCGCUCCAUUUCUCAGAUGAUAGCCAUGAAUUUCAAAAACAUCAAUUGUUGGCCAACGUCAGCUAUUUUAUGAAAGAUGCGAACAAAAACAAUCAGAGGGAGACCAUCUGGGGUAGUUUCAAACUGAAAAUCAGGCAUGCCAUCAAGGGAGCUGGGGCCUCUGGAUUCGACAAAGAUGAUGUGAAAGCCUUUGUGAUGUAGUAGUUUUGCUACUUUGAGCUUGGGAGUUAUGCGACUCGAGCUAGCAGGGUAUGGCAGCACUCGUUUGGUUUUGAAAGAGAGCCCAUAUCUCUCACUCUCUUAUAGUCUCUUGCACAUUUUGUGAGUUAGAAAUCUCACAUCACGAUUCUAGGAAUUACUUUGAUUUUUUUCUUUCCAAUAUUCAAAAUCUCAAAUCACACAUUGGGUGACAUUUUUCUCUUUUCUUCCAAAUUAAAAUCUAAGAUCUCAUUAUAGGAAGAGUGAUUCUAUUCAUCAACUCUUCUACAGAGCUUUCGCUCGAAUUAUAAUUAGAUAUCAGCUUAAUUAUUUAAUUAAGGCUCGAAUUAUCUUCGAUUUGAUUAAGGAAAAGUCAUCUAUGUUGAGAUUAAUUAGUACGUUCAAUUUGCCUUCAGAUUAAGGCCUGAUGGUUUGUGCCAAAUUAAGCAGCUUAAAAUAAAGAACCAAACGAGUAUCCAUAUAUUACUUGUAACGGAAGGUAUAGUAGAAAAUACAUGGUAGCAAUGAUCCUUAUACAAGUAUUCUGUAAUAAAUAGUAAAAAUGGCAUAAAGAAAUAGUAGAGUACGGUAUAAUCACCACACCAAACGAUAAAACACCCAGCAAACUAGAUGAAGUCUGCCAUAACAUGAAACAUUCGAUGGAAUGAUCAUCAUCAUUCAAGGACUAGUAGUUGAGUGGGAGGGGUUGAUGUCCUUGGGAAUAGUUGGCAGUGUGGGCUUAGUCAGAUCAGUAAAGUGGGGAAAAGGUGGCAAUUCAGGCAGUUUUGGUAUUUCAAAUUUUGGCAGUUCAGGUAUUGGGAAUUCGGGUAGCUUAGGCAACUCCGGCUUGGGAAGCUCGGGAAAUUCAGGCUUCGGAAGCUCAGGCAAUGUUACCUCCAAGAGUUGGCGUGCCUCUACCAGAAUUGUCUGGCUCAUUAUCAAUGACAUGCUCAUGAUCACUAUAAGUGGUGAAAUGAAAAG
rnacentral:lncRNA from 1 species